rnacentral:rRNA from 1 species
GCUCAUGUACAAGUCCCUUGGAACAGGGCGUCAUAGAGGGUGAGAAUCCCGUCCUUGACAUGAACUACCAGUGCUCUGUGAUACAUUUUCAACGAGUCGAGUUGUUUGGGAAUGCAGCUCAAAAUGGGUGGUAAAUUCCAUCUAAAGCUAAAUAUUGGCGAGAGACCGAUAGCGAACAAGUACCGUGAGGGAAAGAUGAAAAGCACUUUGGAAAGAGAGUUAAACAGUAUGUGAAAUUGUUGAAAGGGAAACGAUUGAAGUCAGUCGUGCUCUUUGGAUUCAGCCGGUUCUGCCGGUGUACUUCCUUUGAGUGGGGUCAACAUCAGUUUUGAUCGCUGGAUAAAGGCGGGAGGAAUGUAGUACCCUCGGGUAAACUUAUAGCCUCUUGUCACAUACAGUGGUUGGGACUGAGGAACGCAGCAUGCCUUUAUGGCCGGGAUUCGUCCACGUACAUGCUUAGGAUGUUGACAUAAUGGCUUUAAACGACCCG